rnacentral:lncRNA from 1 species
ACAAAAUCCAUAAACUUCCUCUCUCUCCUUUUCUCUCUCUUCAUUCGUCUGAUCUAUCUUCAAUCAAUGGAAUUUUCGGCAGAAAAUAAACCAUGCUCCAUGAAAUUGAUGCUAAUUGUCAUGGAUUUGAUCUUCAUCCCGAGUAUACGGACCAACUUUGCCCAACAAAAAACUCUCAGUGUGCAUGAAACUAUUAUCAGAUCUGGGCUGCUUGAAAAUGAAUGGAGCCGGAAACCAAAACUCUUUGUUUGCCUUUGAUGACAAUAGCCAGAUGAUUGUAGGUGACUUGGCUCCAAACGCCGUUCUUACAAAAUUUUUGAGCAAAAACAACACCAAAAUAAUUAAAAGCUUUGUUCCUCUUAUUGUAAGUACUAUCCAGUUUUUUUCUCUAAAUUUUCAAAUCCAAAAUUAAUUACAAAAAAUUCAAUUUCUCAAAAUUAAUUCCAAUCCAAAUCUAAAUCCAAAAUAAUUCAAAAUCAAAACUUAAACUCCAACAACCCAGAUCCAAAUAAACCUAAAUUCAGAUCUGAAAAAAAGGCAAUUGAAGAAGAGAGUGAAAACCGAGCUCGAUUGCAGAAGGGAGAAGGGAGAAGGGAGAAGGGAGAAGGGAGAACGAAGAAGAGAGAGAAAGCUCGAUGAAAGGGACAAUGAUUACAAGAAAUAACUCAUGAUGCUCUUAUUUGGCUCCAUUUUUUCCGUCAAUGUGCAGUAUUUUUAGGGAGGGAGAGAGUGUACCUUAGGUGAUAAACAGAGGGUGUACCUUCAAAUUGCGCAAGAACUUCGACGAACAAAGGGUGUUAAUGGUUGUUUGGGACCUUGGUUGAUUAAUUUUUUUGGAUUGAAGUUUAAUAAUCCAUAUAUAUGAAUGUGUUUUUAGGUUUUUGAUAGUG